AGUGAACGCUGGCGGUAGGCCUAACACAUGCAAGUCGAACGGCAGCACAGUAAGAGCUUGCUCUUACGGGUGGCGAGUGGCGGACGGGUGAGGAAUACAUCGGAAUCUACUUUUUCGUGGGGGAUAACGUAGGGAAACUUACGCUAAUACCGCAUACGACCUACGGGUGAAAGCAGGGGAUCUUCGGACCUUGCGCGAUUGAAUGAGCCGAUGUCGGAUUAGCUAGUUGGCGGGGUAAAGGCCCACCAAGGCGACGAUCCGUAGCUGGUCUGAGAGGAUGAUCGGCCACACUGGAACUGAGACACGGUCCAGACUCCUACGGGAGGCAGCAGUGGGGAAUAUUGGACAAUGGGCGCAAGCCUGACCCAGCCAUACCGCGUGGGCGAAGAAGGCCUUCGGGUUGUAAAUCCCUUUUGUUGGGAAAGAAAAGCAGCAGGUUAAUACCCCGCUGUUCUGACGGUACCCAAAGAAUAAGCACCGGCUAACUUCGUG
rnacentral:rRNA from 1 species